ensembl:Mt_tRNA
CAGAGAGUAGUUUAGGAUUAGAAUUUCAGCUUUGGGUGUUGGCGGCAGAACUAGGUGUUCUCUCUCUGA